rnacentral:rRNA from 1 species
GACGUGGGGGGCCAGCGUUGCUCGGAAUUACUGGGCGUAAAGGGUUCGUAGGCGGUGCGGCAAGUCGGGAGUGAAAUCUCUGGGCUUAACUCGGAGGCUGCUUCCGAAACUGCCGUGCUCGAGUGCGGGAGAGGCGAGUGGAAUUGCAGGUGUAGCGGUGAAAUGCGUAGAUAUCUGCAGGAACACCCGUGGCGAAGGCGGCUCGCUGGACCGCAACUGACGCUGAGGAACGAAAGCUAGGGGAGCAAACAGG